rnacentral:snRNA from 1 species
CAUAGCGAACUAUUCUUUCGCCUUUUACUAAAGAAUACCGUG